rnacentral:lncRNA from 1 species
CUGGGGUCGUCUUCCAUGCGGUAGAAGCUUUGUUCUUUUGCUGUUUGCAAUAAAUCUUGUUGCUGGUCACUGUUUGGGUCCGCACUGCCUUUGUGAGCUGUAACGCUCACCACGAAGGUCUGCGGGUUCACUGCUGAGGCCAGUGAGAGCCCGAGCCCACCAGGAGGAAUGAACAACUCCGGAUGGGAGAAACGAACAACUCCAGAUCCGCCGACUUAAGAGCUGCAACACUCACCGCCAAGCUAUGCAGCUUGACUCCUGAAGCCAGCGAGACCACGAACCCAUCAGAAGAAAAACUGUGAACACACCCGAGGAAUAAACUCCGGACACACCAUCUUUAAGAAUUGUAACACUCACCACGAGGGUCCACGGCUUCAUUCUUGAGGAAAAUUAAAUCUUCUUUAAGGUCCUGCUCUUUUCCUCUUGACAGCAAGCUACCACUGUUUAGAGAGAGUCUCCUGUUGUCUUCGUCCUGAGGCUUCUUCCAUCUGCACGGAGGUUCCGAAGCGUUUAUGACAUAUCAAUCCCUCUACCAUCAGGCACACAUUUCACUGUUUUGGGAGAAGGCCUUUGGACUGAAGCUGGAAUCACUGCUGCUCCGUGGGUGCUUGUCAUGGCUCCUGUGGAUGGGAACCCGCUAGGCUUCUAGGCUCUGCAUGGGUUUGUCUUUUUGAAUAAAUUGAGCA